rnacentral:misc_RNA from 1 species
AUAAUGUGCGUCGGAUUCGCUUCGGUAAGGACUUUUAAAUUAUUCUAGGAUGCAUGUUGCAGCUUUUCGUUCCUGAAAUUGCUAUCUAUGUUCUUAAACAAGCUAUGCAUAGAUUGCUUUGUCCUAUUUAGUAUGGGUAUAUCACUAGACCCAGCUAAAAACAAUAUUGACACUGAAGAUGCAAACUGGCCACGCCAGUGUACUUUUGAUGAUUCAUUUGAAACCUUGUAUUAGAGACUCUAUGAGGACAAACCAAGCAUGCAUAUAGAAGUGCAAGAGCACCCUUUUUCAAUUGAACUUUCAAAUCUUCACAGCCUAAUUUUCAGUCAUGUGAACUCAGUUUGUGAAUCACGUGUGUUACUUAACCUGCAUCUUAAUAUGAACAAACAUCAUGAGAAAAGGCUGUAAACUUUGAGACCUUAGGUUUUCAAUUUAUUACGUUGAUUGUGUAUACAUGUUCAGGGUGAGCCUUGAUGCAACAGUUAAUUUGU